rnacentral:misc_RNA from 1 species
AAGACUAUAGACCUGCGGAGUACCUGCGGAAGGAUCAUUAAAGAGAAAACUGCCCUUUGGGUAGAUCUCCCACCCUUUGUUUACCUUACCUUUGUUGCUUUGGCAGGCCCGUCUUCUGACCACCGGCUUUAGCUGGUCCGUGCCUGCCAGAGGACCCCAAACUCUUAAUUUUAAGUUGUCCGAGUCUUAUAAAAUAGUAAAAACUUUCAGCAAUGGAUCUCUAGAUCGGAAGAGCACACG